rnacentral:antisense_RNA from 1 species
CUCUGGUGAUUAGUGCAGUUCAGCACCUUUUCAGAUUCCUGUUGGCCAUUUAUGGAGUCUCACUCUGUAGCCCAAGCUGGAGUGGCGUGAUCUCGACUCACUGCAACCUCCGCCUCCUGGGCUCAAGUGAUUCUCGUGCCUCAGCCUCCUGAGUAGCUGGGACUACAGUUGUCCCUUCACGUGGGAUUGCUUCCAGUACCUCUGUGUAUAACAAAAGCUGCACCAUUCAAGUCCCACAGUUGCUCUGCGAAACCUCUGUAUAUGAAAAGUUGGCCCUCCAUGUACAUGGGUUUCCCAUCCUGUCAUAGAAUUUUCCACACUCCUUGACGGAGGUUCUUAACCCUUAUCCAUCAGCAUUCUCAGACAGCACCUCCGGUUAGGGACAGUAUCUGACCGUCCGACAUCCCUGCAGCCCCCAUGCUGUCACACAGACUCAGCCUCAGGUAGAUGGUUUCCGUAGAUGGUGGCUUUCUUUGGACCCUUGAUAUCAACCAGUUACUAUUUGACUCUUCUGCAGAACCCCAUGUUGACCCCUGCUUUGAGGUGGCAGCGUUAACACUACUCUUUGUUAUAAGCUCUCGUCUGGGGCAACUCAGGAGAACA